rnacentral:rRNA from 1 species
CAUGCAAGUCGAACGGCAGCACGGGAGCAAUCCUGGUGGCGAGUGGCGAACGGGUGAGUAAUACAUCGGAACGUGCCCAGUAGUGGGGGAUAGCCCGGCGAAAGCCGGAUUAAUACCGCAUACGACCUACGGGUGAAAGCGGGGGAUCGCAAGACCUCGCGCUAUUGGAGCGGCCGAUGGCAGAUUAGGUUGUUGGUGAGGUAAAAGCUCACCAAGCCGACGAUCUGUAGCUGGUUUGAGAGGACGACCAGCCACACUGGGACUGAGACACGGCCCAGACUCCUACGGGAGGCAGCAGUGGGGAAUUUUGGACAAUGGGCGCAAGCCUGAUCCAGCCAUGCCGCGUGCGGGAAGAAGGCCUUCGGGUUGUAAACCGCUUUUGUCAGGGAAGAAACGGUCUGAUCUAAUACAUUGGGCUAAUGACGGUACCUGAAGAAUAAGCACCGGCUAACUACGUGCCAGCAGCCGCGGUAAUACGUAGGGUGCAAGCGUUAAUCGGA